GACGAACGCUGGCGGCGUGCCUAAUACAUGCAAGUUGAGCGCUGAAGGUUGGUACUUGUACCAACUGGAUGAGCAGCGAACGGGUGAGUAACGCGUGGGGAAUCUGCCUUUGAGCGGGGGACAACAUUUGGAAACGAAUGCUAAUACCGCAUAAAAACUUUAAACACAAGUUUUAAGUUUGAAAGAUGCAAUUGCAUCACUCAAAGAUGAUCCCGCGUUGUAUUAGCUAGUUGGUGAGGUAAAGGCUCACCAAGGCGAUGAUACAUAGCCGACCUGAGAGGGUGAUCGGCCACAUUGGGACUGAGACACGGCCCAAACUCCUACGGGAGGCAGCAGUAGGGGAUCUUCGGCAAUAGACGAAAGUCUGACCGAGCAACGCCGCGUGAGUGAAGAAGGUUUUCGGAUCGUAAAACUCUGUUGGUAGAGAAGAACGUUGGUGAGAGUGGAAAGCUCAUCAAGUGACGGUAACUACCCAGAAAGGGACGGCUAACUACGUG
rnacentral:rRNA from 1 species